rnacentral:rRNA from 1 species
UACAGAGGGUGCAAACGUUGCUCGGAAUCAUUGGGCGUAAAGCGCACGUAGGCGGUCCAGCAAGUGGGGAGUGAAAUCCCUCGGCUCAACCGGGGAACUGCGUCCGAUACUGGAUGGCUUGAGUUUGGGAGAGGGAUGCGGAAUUCCAGGUGUAGCGGUGAAAUGCGUAGAUAUCUGGAGGAACACCGGUGGCGAAGGCGGCAUCCUGGACCAACACUGACACUGAGGAGCGAAAGCCAGGGGAGCAAACGGG